AUUGAACGCUGGCGGCAGGCCUAACACAUGCAAGUCGAGCGGAUGAAGGGAGCUUGCUCCUGGAUUCAGCGGCGGACGGGUGAGUAAUGCCUAGGAAUCUGCCUGGUAGUGGGGGAUAACGUCCGGAAACGGGCGUUAAUACCGCAUACGUCCUGAGGGAGAAAGUGGGGGAUCUUCGGACCUCACGCUAUCAGAUGAGCCUAGGUCGGAUUAGCUAGUUGGUGGGGUAAAGGCCUACCAAGGCGACGAUCCGUAACUGGUCUGAGAGGAUGAUCAGUCACACUGGAACUGAGACACGGUCCAGACUCCUACGGGAGGCAGCAGUGGGGAAUAUUGGACAAUGGGCGAAAGCCUGAUCCAGCCAUGCCGCGUGUGUGAAGAGGGUCUUCGGAUUGUAAAGCACUUUAAGUUGGGAGGAAGGGCAGUAAGUUAAUACCUUGCUGUUUUGACGUUACCAACAGAAUAAGCACCGGCUAACUUCGUG
rnacentral:rRNA from 1 species